GAUGAACGCUAGCUACAGGCCUAACACAUGCAAGUCGAGGGGCAUCGGGAGGGAAGCUUGCUUCCCUUGCCGGCGACCGGCGCACGGGUGAGUAACACGUGAGCAACCUGCCCUUCAGAGUGGAAUAACGUUUGGAAACGAACGCUAAUACCGCAUAACACCAUUGGAUGGCAUCAUCUGGUGGUCAAAGAUUUAUCGCUGAGGGAUGGGCUCGCGUCCGAUUAGGUAGUUGGUGAGAUAACAGCCCACCAAGCCGACGAUCGGUAGCCGGACUGAGAGGUUGAACGGCCACAUUGGGACUGAGACACGGCCCAG
rnacentral:rRNA from 1 species